UGUAUUCACUACUGUAAGUCGCUCUGGAUAUGAGCAUCUGCUAAAUGACUAAAA
rfam:Salmo salar isolate Sally breed double haploid chromosome ssa13, whole genome shotgun sequence.